UACGUAGGGGGCAAGCGUUGUCCGGAUUUAUUGGGCGUAAAGAGCUCGUAGGCGGUUUGGUAAGUCGGGUGUGAAAUCUCCACGCUCAACGUGGAGGGGCCACUCGAUACUGCCAUGACUCGAGUCCGGUAGAGGAGUGUGGAAUUCCCGGGUGUAGCGGUGAAAUGCGUAGAUAUCGGAAGGAACACCGGUGGCGAAAGCGGCGCGCUGGACCUCUUCUGACGCUGAGGCGCGAAAGCCAGGGGAGCAAACGGG
rnacentral:rRNA from 1 species